rnacentral:snRNA from 1 species
AUAUUUACCUGGCAGGGGAGAUACCAUGAUCAGGAAGGUGGUUUUCCCAGGGCGAGGCUUAUCCCUUGCACUCAGGAUGUGCUGACCCCUGAGAUUUCCUCAAAUGUGGGAAACUCGACUGCAUAAUUUGUGGUAGUGGGGGACUGCGUUUGUGCUUUCCCCUG